CCCAUCUCCCAUUUCUUGAGGGGAUCAGGAGAGUUCAAUCACACUUUCAUUGUCAAUUUCUAGACCACUUUCCUCACUUGAUGGUUCGUCUGUCUUUAUGUUUUCCUCCACCUUAUUACUGUUUUUUCUUCCUUCAUAUUGUCUUCUGAUUUAGUUUUAUGAGCAGCAUGUGACAUUUUACCCACCAUGCUCUCCACCCACUCUGACAGGAAGCACAUUUCCUUGGUGUACAGAAUGAUCGGAUCCUGCUUACACAUUUUCACCAAGGCCUGAAGCUCAUUCACUCUGUGGGGAUCCAUGGUCCAGAGGCAAUGGGAGGUCAGGAGGUAGCAAGAACAACAGAGGUUGCAGCCUGAUACCAGAUUCAAAAGCACUAAUGACUACUUCCAUUGGUGAAGAGAACACGGAUAGUCUGUGGUGUGAUGUGACAAUAGAGAUUCAAAAGUAUCACCAUCGGAUACUCCUAAUCAAAUACUUAUGAGGUCAGAAAUUAUAGUGGGAACAGCUGUCACUGACUUGGAAAACCUAAAUGCCGUGGAAGUAAUUGAAUCCCAAGGUGUCAAAGGCCAAGUGGUUCUAUUUAAUCACCAAAGGCAAGGUGGUCAUGGUUGCUCUAAUGGAUAGCAGAAUCAAAGCAGCAAUUAGAAUAUUAUGACUUGCAGAGAGCUACGGCACUGGCUAGCUAAUCAUGAUAUUUCUAGGAGUAAAAUGCAUGGACAUUGUCCUAGAAACCCAGUCACCAUUCUAUGAGGAAGCCCAAUCUGCACAGAGAGAAAAGGAGGCCACAGGCCCUCAGACUCAGCUAUCUAUCCUUGGAUAAAUAGCACCAACUUGCCAUCCAUGGAAAUGAGCCAUCUUGGAUAUGGAUCCCUAACCCUAAAUUGUGCUCCCCAAAUGAUGCCAUAUGGGGCAAACACAAGCCUUUCCUUUUGAGUCUUGCUCAGAUUGCAUGAGCAAAAUAAAGAACUGUUGUUAUUUUAAGCCACAAAAUUUAGGAGUUUGUAAUACAGCAAUAAAUAACUGGAACAUUCAUA